AACGAACGCUGGCGGCAGGCUUAACACAUGCAAGUCGAGCGCCCCGCUAGGGGCUCGGCGGACGGGUGAGUAACGCGUGGGAACGUACCUUUUGGUUCUGAACAACUCCGGGAAACUGGAGCUAAUACCGGAUAAGCCCUAACGGGGAAAGAUUUAUCGCCGAAAGAUCGGCCCGCGUCUGAUUAGCUAGUUGGUGAGGUAACGGCUCACCAAGGCGACGAUCAGUAGCUGGUCUGAGAGGAUGAUCAGCCACACUGGGACUGAGACACGGCCCAGACUCCUACGGGAGGCAGCAGUGGGGAAUAUUGGACAAUGGGCGCAAGCCUGAUCCAGCCAUGCCGCGUGAGUGAUGAAGGCCUUAGGGUUGUAAAGCUCUUUUGUCCGGGAAGAUAAUGACUGUACCGGAAGAAUAAGCCCCGGCUAACUUCGUG
rnacentral:rRNA from 1 species